AGUGAACGCUGGCGGUAGGCCUAACACAUGCCAGUCGAACGGCAGCACAGUAAGAGCUUGCUCUUACGGGUGGCGAGUGGCGGACGAGUGAGGAAUACAUCGGAAUCUACUUUUUCGUGGGGGAUAACGUAGGGAAACUUACGCUAAUACCGCAUACGACCUACGGGUGAAAGCAGGGGAUCUUCGGACCUUGCGCGAUUGAAUGAGCCGAUGUCGGAUUAGCUAGUUGGCGGGGUAAAGGCCCACCAAGGCGACGAUCCGUAGCUGGUCUGAGAGGAUGAUCAGCCACACUGGAACUGAGACACGGUCCAGACUCCUACGGGAGGCAGCAGUGGGGAAUAUUGGACAAUGGGCGCAAGCCUGAUCCAGCCAUACCGCGUGGGUGAAGAAGGCCUUCGGGUUGGAAAGCCCUUUUGUUGGGAAAGAAAAGCAGCAGGUUAAUACCCCGCUGUUCUGACGGUACCCAAAGAAUAAGCACCGGCUAACUUCGUG
rnacentral:rRNA from 1 species